GGGGGGGAGUGUGAGAGAAUCCAGAUUUUCAUGGGAAGACAGUAGGCCACAUAUUAGGGUUUGUGGACGACCUCAUCAAUAAGUUGCACUCUGGGCUGUAAGACAGGAAAGGAAACUGAGACCAAAAAAACAUCAGAAUUCUGCUGAGAUGUCUACUCAGUUGUUGGAUAACAGCUGCAUUCUCUUCCUCCUUGUACUCUGCUAGACAACAUUUCUCAGAUCUUCUGCUGUUACAUGGAGACAUGUGACAGAGUUGUGGCCAAUGCACUCCAAUUUGAUACAGCUAAAAUGAAGUACCUGUUGAUGCAAAGGAGAACUCCAAAUGGAAAAAAAAGCAAGUACAGACUCAGGAGAUAUCCCCAACCCAACCCAAGUGUGUGCCUCACUCUACCUCUCAACACUUCCCUACCCCAUCCCUGAAUAGAGACAACAAGAUAUAGGCAAAGCUUGUUUCGAUUUCAGAAGCACUAUCCCUUAUAAUAAGGAACUCACCUGAAACAGAAAAACCUGAUAAAUAGUUAUCUUUUCUAGUGGAGCUCAAACUUCAGAACAAACAUCUUCGGGUUUUUGAUGU